CACUGCUCAGUAACACGUGGACAACCUGCCCUGAGGACUGGAAUAAUCCCGGGAAACUGGGGGUAAUUCCAGAUAUGUCAGAACUCCUGGAAUGGGUUCUGGCAGAAAGGCUCCGGCGCCUCAGGAUGGGUCUGCGGCCUAUCAGGGUAGUAGUGGGUGUAACGUACCUACUAGCCUACGACGGGUACGGGUUGUGAGAGCAAGAGCCCGGAGAUGGAUUCUGAGACAUGAAUCCAGGCCCUACGGGGUGCAGCAGGCGCGAAAACUUUACAAUGCGGGCAACCGCGAUAAGGGGACCUCGAGUGCUGGGUUACAAACCUGGCUGUUGGGCUGCCUAAAAAGCAGUCUAUAGCAAGGGCCGGGCAAGACCGGUGCCAGCCGCCGCGGUAACACCGGCGGCUCGAGUGGUAACCGCUAUUAUUGGGUCUAAAGGGUCUGUAGCCGGCCGACUAAGUCUCUUGGGAAAUCUGGCAUCUCAAGUGUCAGGCUGCCAGGGGAUACUGGUCGGCUUGGGACCGGGAGAGGUGAGAGGUACCUCGGGGGUAGGGGUGAAAUCUUGUAAUCCUCGAGGGACCACCAGUGGCGAAGGCGUCUCACCAG
rnacentral:rRNA from 1 species